rnacentral:rRNA from 1 species
GACGAACGCUGGCGGCGUGCUUAACACAUGCAAGUCGAACGGAAAGGCCCUGCUUGCAGGGUACUCGAGUGGCGAACGGGCGAGUAACACGCGGGUGAUCUGCCCUGCACUUCGGGAUAAGUCUGGGCAACUGGGUCUAAUACCGGAUAGGAGCCAUUUUUAGUGUGAUGGUUGGAAAGUUUUUUCGGUGUAGGAUGAGCUCGCGGCCUAUCAGCUUGUUGGUGGGGUAAUGGCCUACCAAGGCGGCGACGGGUAGCCGGCCUGAGUGGGUGGACGGCCACAUUGGGACUGAGAGACGGCCCAGACUCCUACGGGAGGCAGCAGUGGGGAAAAUUGCACGAUGGGCGCAAGCCUGAUGCAGCGACGCCGCGUGGGGGAUGACGGCCUUCGGGUUGUAAACUCCUUUCGCUAGGGACGAAGCUUUUUGUGACGGUACCUAGAUAAGAAGCACCGGCUAACUACGUG